rnacentral:lncRNA from 1 species
ACUGGGGAAAUGUGAUGUGAAAUGUAGAGUGUUCUUGGGCCUGCUACUAUCUCCCUGUGGUUGCCAGCAUAGUGCUUCAUAUAUAAGCAUCAGUAACUGUUGUUGAAUGUUAAUAACCUCAGGCUCCCCUAAUCUCUGGUUCCAGAAUGAACAGAGGCUGGUCCAAAUGAGAACAGAUGCUCUAGGCCCACCCAGAUUCCAGACCUAAACUAAGAAAGCCCACCCAGGACUCUUU